rnacentral:rRNA from 1 species
UACGUAGGGUGCAAGCGUUAAUCGGAAUUACUGGGCGUAAAGCGUGCGCAGGCGGUUUUGUAAGUUUGUCGUGAAAGCCCCGGGCUCAACCUGGGAAUGGCGAUGAAGACUGCAAGGCUUGAAUCUGGCAGAGGGGGGUAGAAUUCCACGUGUGCAGUGAAAUGCGUAGAGAUGUGGAGGAACACCGAUGGCGAAGGCAGCCCCCUGGGUCAAGAUUGACGCUCAUGCACGAAAGCGUGGGGAGCAAACAGG